UACGAAGGGGACUAGCGUUGUUCGGAAUCAUUGGGCGUAAAGGGCGCGUAGGCGGCCACCGCAAGUCGACUGUGAAAUCUCCGGGCUUAACCCGGAAAGGUCAGCCGAUACUGCGGGGCUAGAGUGCAGAAGGGGCAACUGGAAUUCUCGGUGUAGCGGUGAAAUGCGCAGAUAUCAGGAGGAACACCGGUGGCGAAGGCGGGUCUCUGGGCCGAUACUGACGCUGAGGAGCGAAAGCGUGGGGAGCGAACAGG
rnacentral:rRNA from 1 species